ACUUUUUAUUAGAAGAGACGCAUUUAUUAGAUAAAAAGCCAGUUCAUGCUUUUACAGUAUGAAAAUUGGUGAUUUAUAAUAACUUAGCAAAUCGCAAAGUGAAAACAGGCGAUAAAUCAUUCAAGUUUCUGACCUAUCAGCUUUCGACGGUAUGGUAUUGGCUUACCGUGGCAGUGACGGUUAACGGGGGAUUAGGGUUCGAUUCCGGAGAGGGAGCCUGAGAAACGGCUACCACAUCUAAGGAAGGCAGCAGGCGCGCAAAUUACCCAAUUCUAACAGUUUGAGAGAGGUAGUAACAAGAAAUAACAAUACAAGGCAGUUAAAAUGCUUUGUAAUUGGAAUGAUAGAAAUUUAAACCCUUUUUAAAGUAUCAAUUGGAGGGCAAGUCUGGUGCCAGCAGCCGCGGUAAUUCCAGCUCCAAUAGCGUAUAUUAAAAUUGUUGCAGUUAAAAAGCUCGUAGUUGAAGUUCUGCUGAAAGUAACCGGUCUGCUUUUAAUAAAAGUGGUAUCUUGGUAUGUAUUUAGCAAUGAUGUC
rnacentral:rRNA from 1 species